AUACUUUUAAAUAAUCAAUAUUGUUAAACGAUACAAUAAUAGUUAGAAGCAAAAUUUUAUAGUUGACAAUAAUCCAUAUUGUGUGAUUCUGAGGUAUUGGUUAUGUCUCAACGGGUGUCUCCCUCUCUCUCUCUCUUCUUUCUACAUUUUUUCAUUUUUAUUUUUUUUCUCGGUGCGUAAAGAAUUUCUCUGCAUUGUAUUAUCAAAGCAAGCAAUGCUAUGACAUGACGACAAGUCCAAGUUCUACAAAUUAUUUUACAAGUAAAUACUAGAGAUUGAAUUACAGGUUUUGUUAAAAAACUAUUUAUCAAACAACAUAUAAGCUGAUAAACUAUUUAUCUGCUACACAAUCAUAUAUUAGUUGAGGGCAAGUCUCUUGUAACAUCUAACAAACCAGUUAUCGGUUCUUCGCGUCGGCUAACAAAAUAUGUAUCAGUUAAAAGAUCAUUGAUCAGAUAACAAAACAUUUAUCAAACCAUUUUUUUUUCUUUGUAUGAAAGAAU
rnacentral:lncRNA from 1 species